rnacentral:rRNA from 1 species
AGUGAACGCUGGCGGUAGGCCUAACUCAUGCAAGUCGAACGGCAGCACAGUAAGAGCUUGCUCUUACGGGUGGCGAGUGGCGGACGGGUGAGGAAUACAUCGGAAUCUACUUUUUCGUGGGGGAUAACGUAGGGAAACUUACGCUAAUACCGCAUACGACCUACGGGUGAAAGCAGGGGAUCUUCGGACCUUGCGCGAUUGAAUGAGCCGAUGUCGGAUUAGCUAGUUGGCGGGGUAAAGGCCCACCAAGGCGACGAUCCGUAGCUGGUCUGAGAGGAUGAUCAGCCACACUGGAACUGAGACACGGUCCAGACUCCUACGGGUGGCAGCAGUGGGGAAUAUUGGACAAUGGGCGCAAGCCUGAUCCAGCCAUACCGCGUGGGUGAAGAAGGCCUUCGGGUUGUAAAGCCCUUUUGUUGGGAAAGAAAAGCAGCAGGUUAAUACCCCGCUGUUCUGACGGUACCCAAAGAAUAAGCACCGGCUAACUUCGUG